AUGGUUCUAUGCUGGAAAAAGAAGUUUAUCUGUUUGUAUAAUUCCUAUCGGUACAGCAUUUCCUCUUCUUUACUCUCCUGCACUGUGUUUAACAAGAAACCUUUAACUAUUUUGUUCUCUGAACAUUUGGGCAGAAUUAAAAUAACUCUUUGGUGUUGUUUCUUUUAUUUCCCUAGCCAGCCGAAUGAGCUAUUUUUCACUUCAACUCUCUCCCCGUCUUGCCUGCUGCCACCACCUGGUCUUGUCACCACAACAUUCCUUAACACCCCAGUAGGGAAAAGGCAAACCAGAGGCAGACAGCCCUGGGCCCUAGAGUCUCAAGUCCACCAUCUGAUGAAGUGGCUUUGGGCAGGUUACCAAUCUCUGGGUCAUAAUGGAACAUGCACUGUGAAUAUCGUCAUGAAGCCCCCAUUUCUAAGGAGUGGAACAUGCUCAAGGAAGAGAGCAACUUUCCCCCAGCCUGACAGAAUGCAACAUAAUUGGUUUGUGCCAAACAUGGCAAUUCCAUUCCCUUUUCCCUAUGAUUGACUUGGGAGCUGGCAUGUGACCCAAUUCUGACCAGUGAGACUAAAGAGACAAUCUGUUGAUGAUGUCUUCUCCCAAGAUUUAUGUUUUCUGCUACAAAGAGUAACAGCCAGUUCCCUCCUGCCUGACUUGAAUGUAAUUGCAUGGGAACAUGAUACUUGGAGCUACAGCAGCCAUUCUGUGAUCAUGAGGCAACAAGCCAAAGAGCACAGGAUAAAACAGUGAAAAGAGAGAAUGAUAUCAUUAGAUGAUAUCAUUAAACUGCUGAACCAAUCUGGAACCAAUGACUUCUAGACUUUGAUAAUUCGUGAGAUGAUUAAAAAUUUCUAUUGUUUUACCCACAAUUUUUUUCCUGCUACUUGUAACCAAACACAUCUUACAUGAUACAAACACUAUCCAACUUGUGUUACCAUUUUUCUAGUUCAUGUCUGUAGAUUCGGUGUCUAACUUUUGCAUUUUUAACUUUGGGUAUGAUCCUGGCACUCAGGAAGAGUCACUAAAUGUUUGUUUAG
rnacentral:lncRNA from 1 species